UGGGGAAUAUUGCACAAUGGGCGCAAGCCUGAUGCAGCCAUGCCGCGUGUGUGAAGAAGGCCUUCGGGUUGUAAAGCACUUUCAGCGAGGAGGAAGGUGGUGAGCUUAAUACGCUCAUCAAUUGACGUUACUCGCAGAAGAAGCACCGGCUAACUCCGUGCCAGCAGCCGCGGUAAUACGGAGGGUGCAAGCGUUAAUCGGAAUUACUGGGCGUAAAGCGCACGCAGGCGGUUUGUUAAGUCAGAUGUGAAAUCCCCGGGCUCAACCUGGGAACUGCAUUUGAAACUGGCAAGCUAGAGUCUCGUAGAGGGGGGUAGAAUUCCAGGUGUAGCGGUGAAAUGCGUAGAGAUCUGGAGGAAUACCGGUGGCGAAGGCGGCCCCCUGGACGAAGACUGACGCUCAGGUGCGAAAGCGUGGGGAGCAAAACAGGAUUAGAUACCCUGGUAGUCCACGCUGUAAAACGAUGUCGAUUUUGGAGGUUGUGCCCCUUGAGGCGUGGCUUCCGGAGCUAACGCGUUAAA
rnacentral:rRNA from 1 species